rnacentral:rRNA from 1 species
AGCGAACGCUGGCGGCAGGCCUAACACAUGCAAGUCGAACGAACCUUUCGGGGUUAGUGGCGGACGGGUGAGUAACACGUGGGAACGUGCCUUUAGGUUCGGAAUAACUCAGGGAAACUUGUGCUAAUACCGAAUGUGCCCUUCGGGGGAAAGAUUUAUCGCCUUUAGAGCGGCCCGCGUCUGAUUAGCUAGUUGGUUGAGGUAAUGGCUCACGAAGGCGACGAUCAGUAGCUGGUCUGAGAGGAUGAUCAGCCACAUUGGGACUGAGACACGGCCCAAACUCCUACGGGAGGCAGCAGUGGGGAAUCUUGCGCAAUGGGCGAAAGCCUGACGCAGACAUGCCGCGUGAAUGAUGAAGGUCUUAGGAUUGUAAAAUUCUUUCACCGGGGACGAUAAUGACGGUACCCGGAGAAGAAGCCCCGGCUAACUUCGUG